rnacentral:misc_RNA from 1 species
AGAAAAACUGAGCUUUUAAAAUCAGAUGAUACAAUAAGAGAGACCGUUUUCAUAAAAAAGGAAGCACUAAUUGAUAAUUGUACUUCUGAAGGUGAUGUAAAUAAAGAAACCAAUAUAAAAAGGGAAGUAGAAAACGAUAAACUUGCAAGUGAAAGUGGAUUUAUUGACAAAACAUGGGGUUUUUCUAAAAAAGAAGAUAGUAGAAAAACUGACCCUUUAAAAUCAGAUAUAAUAGAAAAGGAAGUACUAGAUAAUAUUUCUGCAGGUAAAAUCGAGCUUACAAUUAAUUACAUGCUGAAGUCAAAGAAAAGGCAUUCAAAUGUAAAACCUGUGGUCAAAAAUUCACUAGAAAGUAAGUCGUGAUUAAUAUCUCUGUGUAACUGAUUAACAGUAUUAUUCUGCUUUAAAUUUGGUUUAGCAUUUUAUACAGGGAAUCCUUUGUAUUUGUUGUUUACAUGUAUGAUUUAAACUAGUCAUUACCCUAUGUUUAAUCAAGAUAAGCAUUUGUUACUCUCUAUAAAGGAACUGCCCAUUGAAGGCAUUAAUUUUGAUGACAUUCUGGAAACUGAUAACUGUUGUAUUAGAAUAACCAUUAUUAUUACUAGUAUGCAUUUCAUAUUUUCAUUUGGAGUAUUAUUGAAGUUAAAAAUACCUUGGACAGAGAAGGUUAGAAAUGAGGGUAUGAGAAAUAUUAGGAGAAUAGAAAGAAGGCAAUGAGAAAUGGUUUGGUGGGACAGCUUUUCAGGCAUUAAGGUCUAGUUGGAGACAUUACAAAAAGAAACAGAUGUUAAGAUAGGCAGAUGGUGAAUCUAUACAGGGUGUCCCAGUUAUAAUAAAAAAAAAACCAUGGCUUCCUGACACAAAAUACAACAAAAAAGUGUU